GUCGCAUGUUUGGUUUUUGAGUGAAGCGUGAGGAGUGGCACCACUAAAAAGGACAAAAGUGCUGCACGCAAUGCUGAUGCAAUCUAUGAAUACAACGGACUUGUGCUGUGUCACGUGAGAGAUAUGUAAAUACAAGUUGUAAUAGUUUUUUCAUAUUUCUGACGUGGUGAAUACAACAUUCCCAUAACUUGUGCAACCCACCUUUGAAUAUCACUAAUAGGAAUAUGCUUCUCCUCAUUCCUUCACAUGAUCUUCCUCAUAACUGUAAAAGAAACAUGAAACCUGUUCUCUUGCAUGAUGCUUUAAGUGUUUUGACCAGUGAAGGGCAUCUGUGCCAGUGGCAUUUUAUCAGCUGCCAGGCCCUCCAGUGUUUGAGAGGCGCUUGUAUGCAGUUCUUAGUCAGCUGGACUACCCUAGGGACAAGCAAAGUGGAGCAGUUGUUGAGGAAAUUAUCCUUUUUCCUGGCUCUAAGGCAAGGGAAUACUGGGUUACAGUGUGAGAAACCUGUGCAUUUGUGUUUGACGGGCUCUUUGGCAUCUCCCAGUGGGAACACCACACCCCUGUGUUGUCUACAUGGCUGACAUGGGCUUUGAGGUACCUUGAUUUCUUGUCCUAAUACCUUCUCAGAGUCUAUACACCAAGCGAUAAUGGAAACAAACAAAGGAAAACACAACUCCUUUCCUGCUAGUCGCUCGGCCGAUUUUGAGCGUCACUGACCAUUUCUCAGUCUAAACAGUCCAAAGGAAGCCAUUUUGUACAAUAUAAACCCAAUAUCAACAAUGAAGAUUCACCAUCAGAUAUACAUUAGCAGAAGUCUCUUGUGCUCCCCAAGGCUGCAGUUAUUUGAUCAAAAUACAGUAAAAACAAUAAUAUUGUGAAAUAUUCUUACUAUCUAGAAUAAACUUUUAUAUUUUAAUAUAUUUUAAAAUGUAAUUUCCUGUGAUGGAAAAGCCUCAUUACUCCAGUAUUCAGUAUUCACAUGAUCCUUAUUACUUAUGACAUUAUAAAUGUCUU
ensembl:lncRNA